rnacentral:rRNA from 1 species
AUACGGAGGGGGCUAGCGUUGUUCGGAAUUACUGGGCGUAAAGCGCGCGUAGGCGGGCUGGUCAGUCAGGGGUGAAAUCCCGGGGCUCAACCCCGAAACUGCCUUUGAUACUGCCAGUCUAGAGGUCGAGAGAGGUGAGUGGAAUUCCGAGUGUAGAGGUGAAAUUCGUAGAUAUUCGGAGGAACACCAGUGGCGAAGGCGGCUCACUGGCUCGAUUCUGACGCUGAGGUGCGAAAGCGUGGGGAGCAAACAGGAUUAGAAACCCCAGUAGUCC